rnacentral:rRNA from 1 species
UACGAAGGGGGCUAGCGUUGCCCGGAAUCACUGGGCGUAAAGCGCACGUAGGCGGAUUGUUAAGUCAGGGGUGAAAUCCUGGAGCUCAACUCCAGAACUGCCUUUGAUACUGGAGAGCUUGAGUCCGGAAGAGGUGAGUGGAACUCCGAGUGUAGAGGUGAAAUUCGUAGAUAUUCGGAAGAACACCAGUGGCGAAGGCGGCCUCACUGGUCCGGUACUGACGCUGAUGUGCGAAAGCGUGGGGAGCGAACAGG